rnacentral:rRNA from 1 species
GACGAACGCUGGCGGCGUGCCUAAUACAUGCAAGUAGAACGCUGAAGCGAGGAGCUUGCUCUUCUUGGAUGAGUUGCGAACGGGUGAGUAACGCGUAGGUAACCUGCCUUGUAGCGGGGGAUAACUAUUGGAAACGAUAGCUAAUACCGCAUAACAAUGGAUGACACAUGUCAUUUAUUUGAAAGGGGCAAUUGCUCCACUACAAGAUGGACCUGCGUUGUAUUAGCUAGUAGGUGAGGUAAUGGCUCACCUAGGCGACGAUACAUAGCCGACCUGAGAGGGUGAGCAGCCACACUGAGACGGAGACACGGCCCAGACUCAUACGGGGGGCAGCAGUAGGGAAUCUUCGGCAAUGGGGGCAACCCUGACCGAGAAACGCCGAGUGAGUGAAGAAGGUUGUCGGAUCGUAGAGCUCUGUUGUAAGUCAAGAACGGGUGUGAGAGUGGAAAGUUCACACUGUGACGGUAGCUUACCAGAAAGGGACGGCUAACUACGUG